CAGUCUUACCUGCGGACAAUCAGCUUUUUGAGUGUGAUUAUGUGGAUUGUGAGGAGUUUAAUCACCCUCAUGUUUUGCAUAUUCGUGCUCUUGGGUGUACUUGCCCGUGUGGUAGGUUAACAUCAAUUUCGGACGUCAUAAAAGGAUGAGAGGAAUGUGGCAGCUUGCUGUGUUAUAGCCUCUUGUUGUACACGGUGCCGUGGGAUUGAGGACUGCAGCACGCCUUUGGUAGGGUUCGCCACUCCACGUGCUUAGGAU
rnacentral:rRNA from 1 species